AUUGAACGCUUGCGGCAGGCCUAACACAUGCAAGUCGAGCGGAGCGGCGGACGGGUGAGUAAUGCCUAGGAAUCUGCCUGGUUGUGGGGGAUCACGUCCGGAAACGGGCGCUAAUACCGCAUACUAUCAGAUGAGCCUAGGUCGGAUUAGCUAGUUGGUGGGGUAAAGGCCUACCAAGGCUACGCUCCGUAACUGGUCUGCGAGGAUGAUCAGUCACACGGGAACUGAGACACGGUCCAAACUCCUACGGGAGGCAGCAGUGGGGAAUAUUGGACAAUGGGCAAAAGCCUGACCCAGCCAUGCCGGGUGUGGGAAGAAGGUCUGCGGAUGUUAAAGCACUUUAAGUGGGGAGGCUUUACCAACAGAAUAAGCACCGGCUAACUUCGUGCCAGCAGCCGCGGUAAUAC
rnacentral:rRNA from 1 species